rnacentral:rRNA from 1 species
UACGAAGGGGGCUAGCGUUGUUCGGAAUCACUGGGCGUAAAGCGCACGUAGGCGGACUUUCAAGUCAGGGGUGAAAUCCCGGGGCUCAACCUCGGAAUUGCCUUUGAUACUGUAAGUCUCGAGUCCGGAAGAGGUGGGUGGAAUUCCUAGUGUAGAGGUGAAAUUCGUAGAUAUUAGGAAGAACACCGGUGGCGAAGGCGGCCCACUGGAUCGGUACUGACGCUGAGGUGCGAAAGCGUGGGGAGCAAACAGG